rnacentral:rRNA from 1 species
UACGGAGGGUGCAAGCGUUAAUCGGAUUUACUGGGCGUAAAGCGCACGCAGGCGGUUUGUUAAGUCAGAUGUGAAAUCCCCGGGCUCAACCUGGGAACUGCAUCUGAAACUGGGAAACUUGAGUGUAGUAGAGGGGGGUAGAAUUCCAGGUGUAGCGGUGAAAUGCGUAGAGAUGUGGAGGAAUACCGGUGGCGAAGGCAGCCCCCUGGGCGAAGACUGACGCUCAGGUGCGAAAGCGUGGGGAGCAAACAGG